UUUACUGGGAUUAGAUACCCCACUAUGCCUAGCCAUAAACAUAGAUAAUUAUGUACUUAUUUAUCCGCCUGGGUACUACGAGCGUUAGCUUAAAACCCAAAGGACUUGGCGGUGCUUUAGAUCCACCUAGAGGAGCCUGUUCUAGAACCGAUAAUCCCCGUUAAACCUCACCUCUCCUUGSCUAGUCSGCCUAUAUACCGCCGUCGUCAGCUUACCCUGUGAAGAGAUAGAAGUAAGCACAACCGGCACAGCCCAAAACGUCAGGUCGAGGUGUAGCGUAUGGAGAGGGAAGAAAUGGGCUACAUUCGAUAGCAAUAUUGAAUACGGAUAAUGUUUUGAAAGAGACAUUUGAAGGAGGAUUUAGUAGUAAGCAGGGAAUAGAGAGCCCCGCUGAAGACCGGCCCUUAAGCGCGCACACACCGCCCGUCACUCUCCCCGAGCUAACAUAAACCAAUUACUAAUAAACAAAAACUGUAAAGGGGAGGCAAGUCGUAACAUGGUAAGUGUACCGGAAGGUGCACUUGGAAUAACUCAUAGCAUAGCUAAACAACGCAUAGCAUCUCCCUUACUACUGAUGAAGAUAUCCGUUGUCAAUCCCGGAGUUGCCCUGAAUGACCCAAUAUCUAUACCCAACCCCUCUAAAAGUAAAUACAACUCCAUCGUCUAUAACCCUCACAUACACUAAACAUCAAUUAAAACAAACCAUUUUACCCUCGUUAGUAUGGGACGACAGAACAUGAGAAGUCGGCGACCAUAAAGAAAGUACCGCAAGGGAAAGCUGAAAGAGAAACUGAAACAACUCAGUUCAAAGCUCAAAGAAGCAGAGACUAAACCUCGUACCUUUUGCAUAAUGGUCUAGCA
rnacentral:rRNA from 1 species